UACGAAGGGGUCUAGCGUUGCUCGGAUUGACUGGGCGUAAAGGGCGCGUAGGCGGUUCGUACAGUCAGACGUGAAAUUCCUAGGCUCAACCUGGGGGCUGCGUUUGAUACGUGCGGACUUGAGUGCGGAAGAGGGUCGUGGAAUUCCCAGUGUAGAGGUGAAAUUCGUAGAUAUUGGGAAGAACACCGGUGGCGAAGGCGGCGACCUGGUCCGAUACUGACGCUGAGGCGCGAAAGCGUGGGGAGCAAACAGG
rnacentral:rRNA from 1 species